rnacentral:rRNA from 1 species
GAUGAACGCUGGCGGCGUGCCUAAUACAUGCAAGUCGAGCGAACAGAUAAGGAGCUUGCUCCUUUGACGUUAGCGGCGGACGGGUGAGUAACACGUGGGUAACCUACCUAUAAGACUGGAAUAACUCCGGGAAACCGGGGCUAAUGCCGGAUAACAUUUAGAACCGCAUGGUUCUAAAGUGAAAGAUGGUUUUGCUAUCACUUAUAGAUGGACCCGCGCCGUAUUAGCUAGUUGGUAAGGUAACGGCUUACCAAGGCAACGAUACGUAGCCGACCUGAGAGGGUGAUCGGCCACACUAGAACUGAGACACGGUCCAGACUCCUACGGGAGGCAGCAGUAGGGAAUCUUCCGCAGUGGGCGAAAGCCUGACGGAGCAACGCCGCGUGAGUGAUGAAGGUCUUCGGAUCGUAAAACUCUGUUAUUAGGGAAGAACAAAUGUGUAAGUAACUGUGCACGUCUUGACGGUACCUAAUCAGAAAGCCACGGCUAACUACGUG